UACUUACUUAGAGGCCUAUUGUCCAAAGA
rnacentral:piRNA from 1 species